rnacentral:lncRNA from 1 species
ACGUUUUUUUAAAGACCAAACAGCCUAUUGUUUAUGCGCAUCAGCUAACGCAACUUGGUAGUGACAUAAAAGCUCUAUGACGUUGUUUCUAGCAAUGAAAAAACGUCAAAUUAUAACGUCCAAUUUCGCGUUUUUCACGGAUUCUAACAUGGUGUACGCUACGUAGGUACGCUACGUCUCCCAAGAAAAGAGGAACUAUUAUGCGUCGCGCUACUUUAACAUCCUGUGGAGAUUUAACACAAAUGGACACAUAAGAUACUACACUAUAUUUAACCUUCGUUCUAAAAAAAAUAAUAAAAUAUAAAUUUUGAUCUCGACUGUUUGCAUUUGCGCCGUUCUGCAUUAACUUUUUUUUUAUUCUUUCACAUGCGUAGAUUUUGUCUUAUAUUUGCGUCGAUCUGCAUUUCAUUUUUUCUUCUUCACUUGCGUAGAUUUUGUCUUUGGUUUGCGCCGAUUGUGUACAGGUAAGGUGAAAGGUUUUUUUUUGACCGAUUUAUGGGCAUUAUGUUUUCUGGUCUGUGCGUCCGUUCGUUCGUCCGUCCCCGCUUCAGGUUAACGUUUUUGGUUGCAGUUUUUGGUCAAGGUAGUUUUUGACGAAGUUGAAGUCAUAUCAACUUAAAACUUAGUAAACAUGUUCCUUAUGCAAUGAUCCUUCUAAUUUUAGUGUCAAUUUUUCAAAAAUUAAAAAAAAAUGAGUAUUCACAAGGUUAGGCCCAUAAUCAAAUAUUCCUAAAAGUUUUGACAUACUGGCAACAUGUGCAUGUAACUGAUGUCUGGAUGAUUCUCGUAAAAUAAUAUCCGAUCUUGCAAUGAAGUUAAAAUUUAUUUAUACUGCUUAUUUGACAAAAUCUUAUAGUAAAAAUAAAAUAAAAUGAUAACAAAGGGUCAUUUUUGUUUGUCAUUUGUUUCAUUUCAAAUUGUCUUAAGGAGAAAUGAUAAACAUAUUGUCUAAUCUCACUGAAGCUUACAGCUAAUUUUCUAAUGUAUGUAGAUCAACACUUUGGUUUGCCUGCUUGCUUUGUUUGUAUAUU